CUGGCAGCACAAUGAUGAUGUCUCUGACUCUACUGCUGGCCACCCUGGGGCUCCUUCUUCAGGAUUCAUCAGGAGAAAUCAUCCUGACUCAGUCUCCUGGAUCUCAGUCUGUUGUUCCAGGACAAACUGUCUCUAUCAAAUGUAAAACCAGUUCAGGCGUUAGCAGCUACCUCCACUGGUACCUUCAGAAACCUGGAGAAGCUCCUAAACUCCUGAUUUAUUAUGCUACAAACCUUCAGUCUGGAGUUUCAGAUCGUUUUAGUGGAAGUGGAUCUGGGUCUGACUUCACUCUGACCAUCAGUAGAGUUCAGGCUGAAGAUUCAGGAGUUUACUACUGUCAGCAGAGUAGCAGCAGCCCGCUCACACAGUGAUACAACGUCGUACAAAAACCUCCCUCAGCUGCAGAGGAACUGAUCUGAAUCAACAGCUGCACUGAAACUAAAACAGCAAGAGUUUUACUAAAGAAAAUGUAGUGAAUAAUGAUCAACAUUGAAUAUUUUACCACUAAAUGUUCAGUAUUUGACCGGAAAGUUGUACUUUUAAUACUUCCAUUAAAAUAGGCUUGGAACCAUUCUGCUGAACAUAAAAGCUAACCUCAGUUAAAGUAUGACAAUGGAAACUAAAACAGUAAAUAUUAUUUACUUAAUGAUUUUAUCUCCUACCCUUUUUUCUUUAAUCGCAAACAUAUUCAUUAAUGAAAUAAAUUACAAAAUCUUACAGGAAUGA